AGAGUUUGAUCAUGGCUCAGAAUGAACGCUGGCGGCGUGCUUUACACAUGCAAGUCGAGCGAGGCGUGGAGCAAUCCACAGUCGAGCGGCGAACGGGUGAGUAACGCGUGGAUGACCUGCCCUUCAGCGGGGAAUAACCCGGGGAAACUCGGGCUAAUACCGCAUACGACCGAGAGGUGAAAGGGGGCCGCAAGGCUCUUACUGAAGGAGGGGUCCGCGUCCGAUUAGCUAGUUGGUAGGGUAAUGGCCUACCAAGGCGACGAUCGGUAGCCGGCCUGAGAGGGUGAUCGGCCACACUGGAACUGAGACACGGUCCAGACUCCUACGGGAGGCAGCAGUGGGGAAUUUUGCGCAAUGGGCGAGAGCCUGACGCAGCAACGCCGCGUGGAGGAUGAAGGUCUUUGGAUUGUAAACUCCUGUCAGCAGGGAAAAAGCGACUUGACCUAAUACGUCAGGGAGUUGAUUGUACCUGCAGAGGAAGCCCCGGCUAACUCUGUGCCAGCAGCCGCGGUAAUACAGAGGGGGCAAGCGUUAUUCGGAAUUAUUGGGCGUAAAGGGCGCGUAGGCGGCUUUGCAAGUGACGGGUGAAAGCCCUCGGCUUAACCGAGGAACUGCCUGUCAGACUGUGAGGCUUGAGACCGGGAGAGGUGAGUGGAAUUCCCAGUGUAGCGGUGAAAUGCGUAGA
rnacentral:rRNA from 1 species